rnacentral:rRNA from 1 species
AGAGUUUGAUCCUGGCUCAGGAUGAACGCUGGCGGCGUGCCUAACACAUGCAAGUCGAACGAAGCACCUACCGGAUUCUUUGGAUGAAAGUUUGGUGACUGAGUGGCGGACGGGUGAGUAACGCGUGGGUAACCUGCCCUGUACAGGGGGAUAACAGCUGGAAACGGCUGCUAAUACCGCAUAAGCGCACGAGGAGACAUCUCCUUGUGUGAAAAACUCCGGUGGUACAGGAUGGGCUUGCGUCUGAUUAGCUGGUUGGCAGGGUAACGGCCUACCAAGGCAACGAUCAGUAGCCGGUCUGAGAGGAUGAACGGCCACAUUGGAACUGAGACACGGUCCAAACUCCUACGGGAGGCAGCAGUGGGGAAUAUUGCACAAUGGGGGAAACCCUGAUGCAGCAACGCCGCGUGAGUGAAGAAGUAUUUCGGUAUGUAAAGCUCUAUCAGCAGGGAAGAUAAUGACGGUACCUGACUAAGAAGCUCCGGCUAAAUACGUGCCAGCAGCCGCGGUAAUACGUAUGGAGCAAGCGUUAUCCGGAUUUACUGGGUGUAAAGGGUGCGUAGGUGGCAGUGCAAGUCAGAUGUGAAAGGUCGGGGCUCAACCCCGGAGCUGCAUUUGAAACUGCUCGGCUAGAGUACAGGAGAGGCAGGCGGAAUUCCUAGUGUAGCGGUGAAAUGCGUAGAUAUUAGGAGGAACACCAGUGGCGAAGGCGGCCUGCUGGACUGUUACUGACACUGAGGCACGAAAGCGUGGGGAGCAAACAGGAUUAGAUACCUUGGUAGUCCACGCCGUA